ACACCGUUGGUGAAGUGGUUAUCAUGCUUGCCUUCCAUUUGUGAUAGCAAGCGGCUCGGGUUCGAUUCCCGAACGGUGUA